CACGGAUCACUCAGGCAGCGA
rnacentral:siRNA from 1 species